GAAAUGCGAUAAUUAAUGUGAAUUGCAGAAUUCAGUAAAUCAUCGAGUCUUUGAACGCACAUUGCGCCCCCUGGUAUUCCGGGGGGCAUGCCUGUCCGAGCGUCAUUGCUGCCCUCAAGCACGGCUUGUGUGUUGGGCUUCCGUCCCUGGCAACGGGGACGGGCCCAAAAGGCAGUGGCGGCACCAUGUCUGGUCCUCGAGCGUAUGGGGCUUUGUCACCCGCUCCCGUAGGUCCAGCUGGCAGCUAGCCUCGCAACCAAUCUUUUUAACCAGGUUGACCUCGGAUCAGGUAGGGAUACCCGCUGAACUUAAGC
rnacentral:misc_RNA from 1 species